UGAGAUGCAAAAGCCAUUGGAACUGAGCUGGAAAUUUCUUUAAAAGUGAACUAAGACGCAAACACCAGGAAAGAAUUUCUGCUAAUGGAGAGGAAACUAAGGCUCGGAUUAAGGGCUUUGCACCAGAUCUGGAAGCCAGCAAACUGAGAAGAUGGCAGACUGGUGUCCUAAAGGACCAUCUUCAAAGGUAUGAAUCUCAAGCUUCUUUUUAUAUUGGGUAAAGGGAACAAGGAGGGGGUUAAGGUCAGGAGGUGACAGGUGACCACAGACAUCUGGGUGUCAGCAAGAGUCUGAGGGAGUUUCAUAACUUCUUUUUCUUUGUUCAGGUCACAGCACUCCUACAAGUCUUUAGCAUAACAUUGUUCUUGGGUGUAUGCCCUUCUUAUCUCCUCAGGGGUUAGUUUGGGGAAGGCCCUAUUAUCAUCCUUGCUUUAAAGUUAAGCUAUACACUAAAUUCCUCCCAUAGUUAGCUGGGCCUACAUGCAGGAAUGAGCAAAGGCAGUUUGCUUGGGGGUUAGAAGCAAGAUGGAGUCAACUAUGCUAGAUUUCUCUCACUGCUACAGAACCCCCCUCUGUGCUAUUUUGAGCCAAACCCCCUUGUCUAGUGUGGCAAAGGCAGGGACUCUCACAUGCUAUAUUUGAGCCCCAAGUGAUACUGGUAGUCUGACUCAUCCAUUCACCCUGUCCUCUCCUGUAACCUCCAGCAGGAACCAUUUCUGGACCACAUUUGGGGCCACCAUUGCCCACUCUCCUCUCUGCUUCUCCUCCACCCACAGCUGCCUGAGCCCAUCCCUGUGACCAGUACAUUGACAGAAAUCUUGGAAACACAAACCUUUGGUUCAGGGGCUGACCCCCCACCAGUUGGAGGCUGGAGAUAACCCCAAGAGGUUGAAGCUAAAUGCUCAGGUUCUAGAAUCUGGUGUAUCUUGGCUCAACAUGUUGCCUUAGCCUUCAUAGGGGAGGCAACUUAUCUUUUCCUUCUAUCUAUCUUAGGUUCAUUGUCUGGAACCCCUGUAACAAAAGACAGAUUAAGAAGAAGAAAGCAUACUAAUUUAUUUAAUAAGCUUGUUAACCAGACUUCUGAGGAUAAAGAGAGCCUGGACUCAAGAGCAAUCCCCAGAAAUGGAUAGAACCUGAGAGAGCUUCCGUCCCAACCAUCUCAUUUUUCAAAGGAGCCAGAGGAGCAAAGGGAGGAGGCCCAAGAGGAGAGUGGGGAUGCCUAGUUCAUGUCUGAGCCAGGACCAGCAUCCAGGUCUCGACUGCCACUCCCAGGAUCCUGCAUUUGGGAGCCCCCAGGUGAAUCAUGCUGUUAGACUGCCAAGUGGAGGGAUAGAGGCAAGGUCCUGCCUUCAAAGACAUGAAUGUCGCAUGGAAAGAACAGGGCAACACACACGAAUCCACUAUGGAGUAUCGUAAGCCAGUGUACCACUGAAGGCUCACGGAGCAUUUCUGAGGAACUCAGUAAAACGAAUAAUGAUUGUAGACUAUCGUUAGUCAAAUACAACUUAACUGGGAAAAUGGAACUGGACCAUGGUCUUGAAAAACAAGUGGAGCUAGAGAAUCAAUGUGAGGGCUGAGAUGAAGGUAUGCAGUUUGUCAACCUCCACAGUAUAAAAAAAAAGUAAGCAAAGAAAGUGAAGCAAAAGAAAACUCAGGAGUAUGAGGAGGAUCAGCACAGUGCAGUCAUGAAAACUAGCCAAGGCAAACCUGCCUAGCAGGAGGCCUGGCACAUUUUGGAUGUUCUUGACUUCUUUUUUCUUACCUUGCUGGCAGUCAGCAGAUACAUGGGAUCUUUGAACCCUCUAGAAUUACAUGCAUACAGCAUGGGUGAUUUGGGGUGAUGGUGUAUAAGUGCAUUAUAUGAAAUCAGGUCUGAGGUUUUCAUUAGGUUCUCAAUAUAUCUUGCUCUCCCUCUUCCAGGAAUAUAGUAGGAUUGCAUUUCUGAGCCUGUAUUAGUCCGUUUUUACACAGCUGAUAAAGACAUACCCAAGACUGAGUAGUUUAUAAGGAAAAAGGGGUUUAAUGGACUCACAGUUCCGCAUGGCUUGGGAGACCUCACAAUCAUGGUGGAAGGCAAAAGGCUUGUCUUAGAUGGCAGCAGAGCUCAGUGCCCCCUCUGUCACAAUGGCCAGCAAUGUUCCAGAUAGUGACCACUCACUCAGCUAGGGUUCCAGAGGGAGGAAGAUGCAGAGCAGAGCCCCAGCUGACCUGCAGUGGACAUAUGAGGCUGGAUGUCGGGCAGCUGAAGGGUGAUCAGUCUUCUGCUGGAAUUAAAGCCUGCUGUGAUGUUAAUGAAGAACCGCCAGUGGGUUUGCUGGAAGGGGGAAAUUUGGAGACAGACACAUACACAGGGAGAUGCCGUGUGAAGACUUGAGUUCUGCUGCCACAAGCCUAGGAACCAUUAGAAGCCAGGGAAGAGGCCUGGAACAGCUCCUUCCCCAGCACCUUCAGAGGGAGCAAGCCUCUACCAACAACCUGAUUUUGAACUCCUCGCCUCCAGAACUGUGAGACAAUAUAUUUCUGUUGUUUUAAGCCACCCAGCAUGUGGUACUUGGUUACAGCAGCCCUGGCAAACAAAUACAGGUUUGUAGGACUGUAUCUUUAGAGAUGAAAAGGAGAACCUCAAGCGGAAGGAAGAGCAUGAGCUUACUGGGGUAAGAAUAUGUAUUUAUAUAUUGAGUGCAUUCAGCAGUUCGGUUCUACUGGAACCACGGUCUGUAAAGGAGCCAUGUAUGGGAAGGUUAUUGUGGCCAAGUAACAGAGGCUUUGAAUGCUGGAAAAGACAUCUAAAUUUUGGAGCCAGGCACGGUGGCUCACGCAUGUAAUCCCAGCACUUUGAGAGACCGAAGCAGGUAGAUCACGAGGUCAAGAGAUAGAGAGUAUCCUGGCCAACAUGGUGAAACCCCUUCUCUACUAAGAAUACAAAAACUAGCUGGGCGUGGUGGCAUGCACCUGUAGUCCCAGCUACUUGGGAGGCUGAGGCAGGAGAAUCGCUUGAGCCUGGGAGGUGGAGGUUGCAGUGAGCCGAGAUUGCAGCACUGCACUCCAGCCUGGUGACAGAGCAAGACUCCAUCUAAAAAAAAAAAAAGACAUCUACAUUUUUAUCUGGCAGAGUUUGCUUCUUUUGUGUUAAUAUUUACUUCUAUCUAUCUUGGCCUAAAAUGAUUUGAGGUGGCUGACCUUAGCAUGUAGAUCAUGGGGAACCAGGUUGUGUGCCAGGAAGUGACUUGAUCGGCACCUGCACAGGAAGAUGAUCUCGGAUGCAACUCCUUGGAGAAACAGAGUCAAGCAGCAGCCCAGGUGAGAAGCUUGGCCAUCAUCUGAAAACUAUGCAAAGCAGGUCUGAACUAGGAAAAGGGCAGAAGGUCAGAGAAGAGGGGAUAAAGACAAGAGGUGAAAUGAUAGGUUGACCUGGCAAAUGCUUGCAUGACACAGGAAGAGAGAGAAAGGAAUUGAAUGGAACGUGGUCAACAUUUGAGCCUGGUGACUGUGAGGACAGUGGUGCCAUUUGCAGAUUUAGGAGGAAGCAUCACGUUGGGGAGGUGGAGGAGUUGGUUUUGUGCACAUUGACUCUGAGGUGGUGGAGGGGUCCAGCAGGCAGUUGGACUUAUGAGAAAAUGCACCAUUAUUCAUCCAAACAAGAUAAUUGAAUUUUUGAAGGCAGCUAAAAAAUAAUGGUUCUACGCUACAAGAAAUGAAGUGAAAUGGUAAAACAACAACAACGACAAAAAAACAUACACACACACACACAAAAAGCAAAAAACAAAAUAACCCACCCAAUUAAUCCAUUUGGAGGUUGUUCUCAUCUAGUGAAAUGUGUGUGUGUGUGUGUGGGUGUGUGUGCACUUCAGUACUGUUAACAAAGAAAAGGUCUGGUCAGUGGCAAAAACUACUUGAAUGCUGCUUUCAGCAAAGUCAUCCCUCUCUUCAGAAGGAUGAAGUACUCUUGUUUGUCAAGGAAGGUCCCUCUCAACUAGAAAAACAGCUGCAGGAACUCCAACCCAAGGUCCCCACAGCCCACAGGGGUGAUCUCUUGCUUUGCUCUCCUGGCUGUCUCAGGAAGCAGAAGUGGAAACAUUUGAGAUGACAGCAGCUCUGCUUUCUUUGUAGAGUUAAUUAGCUGGUGAAUACUGAGCUCUCCGACAGAGAGGAAGCUCGGGUUAUCAAAGUAUUAUUAAUUGAUGCAUCUGGAGAAAGAGAGAAGCAGCCCCAUCUGGACAGAGCUUGGAUUCUUUUAGCGCCAGAAUGGAAGAAAGCCCUUUUUAAAGUACAGUAAGAAAAGCCUGGUUCAGCUAAACAGUGAGGGGUAGUAGAAUCUAACUCGCACUCAACCCUACUUAACACCUUCCAUUCUUAAGUAUUUAUUAAGCCCGGUACAAGUGACAAAUACCACAUGUGAUCUGUUGUCACCAAAACUCAUUAAGACAAAUAAUAUUGAAUAAGAUCACACAGGAUGGCUUGCCAUCAGAACUACUUACUACUUCAGGCCGGGUGCCAUGGCUCAUGCCUGUAAUCCCAGCACUUUUGGUAGCUGAGGCAGGUGGGUCACCUG
rnacentral:lncRNA from 1 species